GAAAUGCGAUACGUAGUGUGAAUUGCAGAAUUCCGUGAAUCAUCGAAUCUUUGAACGCAUAUUGCGCUCGAGGCUCCGGCCGAGAGCAUGUCUGUCUCAGCGUCGGCUCACCCCCUCGCCCUCCCUCCUUAUUUAACGAUGAGAAGGUGUCAGGAGCGGACGUGGCCGUCUCGAUUCGAAAGGAUCGGGUCGGCUGAAGCACAGGGCUUGCGGCGGACCCUCACAAAGGGGCGCCAGCAUGGUAGGUGGCUUAACUGCUGCAUGCCGCUGUCGUCUUUCCUUGCCAUUGAGGCUGUUCCAGUGCCGCGCGGCCAAGCAGGAAUUUGUUUCCUUUCUUCGAAAGGCAACUCAAACCUUCGACCUGAGAUCAGACAAGACCACCCGCUGAACUUAA
rnacentral:misc_RNA from 1 species